rnacentral:lncRNA from 1 species
CAGGAAAACACAACAUAUUAUAUAACACAAUAAUAUAAUAACAUAAUAAUACAUUCAAAUCCAAGUCCAUUUUUGGAAAUAUGGAAGUUCAGAAAAUGGGGAGAUGGGAUUUUACCAAGUUUAACUAACCAAAGAUUUUCACUGUUAUUAUUUUUCUAAAUAAUAUUUUCCUCAAUAGAUUAGGAAAAACACUACAGAUAAUUUGAAAUAAUUCAAAUGGAUACAAUAGAUUAAAUGCCAAAAAGCUUGCAGAUACAAACAAUCUUAACGUUUUGCUGAUACUCAUACUUUCAUUAAAAUUUUUAAGUUAAAAGUUUUUUCUGACUAGAAGCAUGCUGGUUACACUGCAGAAAUACGAGCAACAUAAGGCAAGUGUUUCCUAUAAUUCUGACUCCCUGAGUUAACCACUGUUAAAAGUUUGAGGGUUUUUUUGCAUCAUUUCUACACAUGCAUAUACUAAAAUAUGUUAUUUAUUUAAUGAAAAUUGAAUUCUGCUGUUCCUUCAUUAAAUAUUGUUUUACUUUUAUGCCAUUAACUCUGUAUCUUGGAAAUUAUUUCCAUAGCAGUACAUAUACUCUAACCUCAGUCUCUUCAACAGCCCUAUAUCAUUCUAUUGAAUAGACAUACCAUAAUUUCCUGAACUAAUCCUAUUGAUGGACAUUUAAAUUGUUUAAGAUUUUUCACUAUUACAAACAGUGCUUCGGUGAAAAAUCCUUGACAUAUAUCUAUGCUGAAUUAUGUUUCUGAAUCAGUAUUUCUAUAGAAAUACACAUAUGUAAUAGAUUGACAUCAUAGUGUAUAUGUUUAUAUCUUGCUUUAUUAGUUAGCACAUCACAAACUUUUCAAAUGCUAUCAAAAUCUAUGUGAGUUAAAAGUAAUAUUUAUAUAAUAUUCCAUUUCAUACAGAUAUUAUAAUUUAAUUUAUAUAGUGGUUCCCACAUUUGAGGUUUUUAGGUUGUUCCCCAGUUUGAUUAAUAAAAAGAAUUCUGCAUUGACCAUUCUAGUUUCAAAAGCUUUAUUUACAUCUCUGAAUAAUUUUAGGGGCUAUUCCUGGAAGUGAAAUCACUGGAACAAAUAAUAUAAACAUUAUUUAAGGUUAUUGAUGUAUAUUGACAAAUUAUGUUUUAAAAAGUGUGUAGAAUUCAUGUUGGCACUGGCAAUAUGAGUGCCUGUAUUGCUGGACCCUUACCAUUGAUUAUAUUG